rnacentral:rRNA from 1 species
AUGGGGAACAUCUGCGGCGGCGCGGGGAAGGCCGAUGUGGCGGCGGACUACCGGCCGUCCAGCCCAGGAACAUCCAACUACAAGACGAGCGGCAGCGUCACCACCAGCAACAGCACCACGGGGAAGCUCUCAUCGGGAGGCAGCAGCACCUUCAUGGCCUCCACGGGCAGCGGCGGCACCAGCGGGGGCUUCGACGAGGCCGCGGCGGGUUUCCUCGAGGGCCAGAUCCUGGAGGCGCCCAACCUCCGCACCUUCACCUUCCUCGAGCUCAAGACGGCCACCAAGAACUUCAGGCCCGACAGCGUGCUCGGGGAGGGAGGGUUCGGGAGGGUCUACAAGGGGUGGGUGGACGAGAAGACGAUGAACCCCACCAAGAGCGGCACCGGCAUGGUCGUCGCGGUCAAGAAGCUCAACUCAGAGAGCAUGCAGGGGUAUGAGGAAUGGCAGUCAGAGAUAAACUUUCUGGGAAGGCUCUCGCAUCCAAACCUUGUCAAGCUGUUGGGCUACUGCUGGGAGGACAAGGAACUGUUGCUUGUCUACGAGUUCAUGGCCAAAGGGAGCUUGGAAAACCAUCUUUUCAGAAGAUGUGCUCCGCUGUCAUGGGAACUGAGGCUGAAGAUAGCCAUUGGUGCAGCUCGAGGACUUGCAUUCUUGCAUGCAUCAGAGAAGCAAGUUAUCUACAGGGACUUCAAGGCUUCCAAUAUUCUUCUAGAUGCAAGUUAUAAUGCGAAGCUCUCCGACUUUGGGCUUGCUAAGCUUGGACCAACGGGUAGCAACUCUCAUAUCACGACUAGGGUUAUGGGCACCUAUGGAUAUGCGGCUCCGGAAUACGUAGCCACCGGCCAUUUGUAUGUCAAGAGCGACGUUUACGGUUUCGGAGUUGUGAUGCUGGAGAUGCUGUCCGGCAAGCGAGCGUUGGACCCCAACCGUCCCAAUGGACAACAGAGCCUCGUUGACUGGGCGAAGCCCUACUUGGCUGACCGGAGAAAGCUCGCCCGCCUUAUGGACCCUCAGUUCGAGGGCCAGUACAACUCCAAACAGUCCCACCAGGCGGCGCAGCUGACGCUGAACUGCCUUGCCGGUGAGCCCAGGAUGAGGCCGUCGAUGAAGGAGGUCCUCGAGACGCUCGAGCAGAUCGAGGCACUGAAGAGCCGGACAAGGGAGACAAGAGGAGGGAGCGGGACGUCAUCCAGGGACCGUGCCCACGGCCGCUCUGCUGCAGUGCACCAGCGGUCAUCUCCACGCGGCAACGGUGAUGGGCGCCGUGGCUCGAGGCCCACCAACGGGCACGCCACGAAGGCACGGUGA